CUCAUUAAAAAGUAAAGAGCAGAUUUAUGUCUUUACGCGCCUAACAAGUAAUUCAGUGAUAGAUAAGUUAUCAAUGAAACCGGGAUGAGAAUCAACGUCGUUCAUUUGCUCCAUAUUUUAAUCGGUGUUGCUGUGGCUCAGGAGACUCUGGAGCAGCGCCUGCGCCAGCAUCUUCUUAAAACGUACGACCCCUCCAGCCGCCCGUCCAGCAAUGUCACCUACGUCGCUAUCAAGUUCACUCUACGGGACUUCAAAGUGGUGGAGUCCGAAGAGGAAAUAGAAUUAAAUA
rnacentral:lncRNA from 1 species